rnacentral:tRNA from 1 species
GCUGCCGUAGUUCAACGGAUAGAACGGCCGCCUCCUAAGCGGCAGAUGCAGGUUCGAUUCCUGCCGGGAGCG